GUGGGGAAUAUUGGACAAUGGGCGAAAGCCUGAUCCAGCAAUGCCGCGUGAGUGAUGAAGGCCUUAGGGUUGUAAAGCUCUUUUACCCGGGAAGAUAAUGACUGUACCGGGAGAAUAAGCUCCGGCUAACUCCGUGCCAGCAGCCGCGGUAAUACGGAGGGAGCUAGCGUUGUUCGGAAUUACUGGGCGUAAAGCGCACGUAGGCGGCUUUCUAAGUUAGAGGUGAAAGCCCGGAGCUCAACUCCGGAAUUGCCUUUAAGACUGGAUCGCUUGAACACGGGAGAGGUGAGUGGAAUUCCGAGUGUAGAGGUGAAAUUCGUAGAUAUUCGGAAGAACACCAGUGGCGAAGGCGGCUCACUGGACCGUUGUUGACGCUGAAGUGCGAAAGCGUGGGGAGCAAACAGG
rnacentral:rRNA from 1 species